rnacentral:rRNA from 1 species
UACGGAGGGUGCAAGCGUUAUCCGGAUUUACUGGGUUUAAAGGGUGCGUAGGUGGAUUUGUAAGUCAGUGGUGAAAUCUCUGAGCUUAACUCAGAAACUGCCAUGGAUACUAUUUGUCUUGAAUACUGUGGAGGUAAGCGGAAUAUGUCAUGUAGCGGUGAAAUGCUUAGAUAUGACAUGGAACACCAAUUGCGAAGGCAGCUUACUACACAAAUAUUGACGCUGAGGCACGAAAGCGUGGGGAUCAAACAGG